CAGACUUUGAGCAUCGUUAAGGCCCACGGGCCUACGGUGAGCUUGCUGCUGCAUCGGGAAGACUUCCGUGGAUACGCCCUGGGCCAGGUGCCCUGGCUCCUGAACCAGUAUAAAGACAAAGAGAUUGAUUUCCAUGUCACUCAGAGCCUAAAACAAAUACUGACUGCAGCAGUUCUUUACGACAUUGGCCUUCCAAGGAGCUUGAGAAGAUCCAUCUUUAUCAAUUUACUCCAGCAGACCUGCAGAGCUCCAGAGCCUCCAGUAAAGGAAAAUGAAAUGGAAGCUUCAAGCUGUUUUCUCAUUCUAGCCCAUUCCAAUCCUGGAGAGCUGAUGGAAUUUUUUGAUGAACAAAUAAGAAGUAAUAAUGAAGCCAUUCGAAUGGGAAUCUUGACUUUGUUAAGAUUGGCUGUCAAUGCUGAUGAGCCCAGGUUGAGGGAUCACAUCAUUUCAAUAGAAAGAACAGUCAGAAUCGUCAUGGGUGAUCUCAGCACAAAAGUAAGAAAUUCUGUUCUUCUCCUCAUCCAAACCAUGUGUGAAAAGUCCUAUAUUGAAGCUCGGGAAGGAUGGCCAUUGAUUGAUUAUGUCUUCUCCCAGUUUGCAAUGUUCAACAGGAAUCUGGAGAAACCAGUGAAAACUAACUUUCAUGAGAAUGAAAAGGAAGAGGAAUUUGUCCGAGAAACAAGCCUUGAGGUCUUAAAAACCCUGGACCCACUGGUCAUUGGAAUGCCUCAGGUGCUAUGGCCAAGGAUCCUGACUUUUGUGGUACCUGCAGAAUACACAGAAGCUCUGGAGCCCCUGUUUAGUAUCAUCAGAAUUCUCAUUAUGGCAGAGGAGAAGAAGAAGCACAGUGCCAAGGAGUCGACAGCACUUGUCAUCUCUACGGGAGCUGUGAAACUUCCUUCACCACAGCAGCUACUGGCCAGACUUCUGGUAAUAUCCAUGCCUGCCAGUUUAGGGGAGUUACGUGGGGCUGGUGCAAUAGGGCUUUUGAAGUUACUGCCUGAGAUAAUUCACCCAAAAUUGGUAGACCUAUGGAAAACACGUUUACCUGAGCUUCUGCAGCCUCUGGAAGGAAAGAAUAUCAGUACCGUUCUAUGGGAAACCAUGCUGCUUCAGUUGCUCAAAGAAUCCUUACGGAAGAUCAGUGAUGUGGCCUGGACCAUUCAGCUGACUCAGGAUUUCAAACAGCAAAUGGGCAGUUACAGCAACACCUCCAUUGAGAAGAAAUUCCUUUGGAAAGCCUUGGGAACCACCUUAGCAUCCUGCCAAGAUUCAGACUUUGUAAACUCACAGAUUAAGGAGUUUCUGACUGCUCCCAACCAACUGGGGGAUCAAAGACAGGGAAUAACAUCUAUUUUAGGAUACUGUGCCGAGAACCAUUUGGAUAUUGUUUUAAAAGUUCUUAAAACAUUCCAAAAUCAGGAAAAGUUUUUCAUGAAUCGAUGUAAGAGCCUUUUUUCUGGGAAAAAGAGCCUGACCAAGACAGAUGUCAUGGUCAUCUACGGAGCUGUGGCCCUCCAUGCUCCCAAGAAGCAACUUCUCUCCAGACUUAAUCAAGAUAUCGUAUCGCAAGUCCUGUUUCUUCACGGCCAGUGCUCUCAGGUUCUGGGCAUGUCUGUGAUGAACAAGGACAUGGAUCUGCAAAUGAGUUUCACAAGAAGCAUCACUGAGAUUGGCAUUGCUGUCCAAGAUGCUGGGGAUCAGGGGUUCCAGUUUUCCUACAAGGAGAUGCUGAUUGGUUACAUGCUGGACUUCAUUAGAGGCGAGCCCCUGGAUUCCUUAGCUAGCCCUAUUCGGUGGAAAGCCUUAAUCGCCAUUAGAUAUCUCAGUAAACUGAAACCUCAGCUCUCACUACAAGACCACCUUAACAUUCUUGAGGAGAAUAUUCGGAGGCUGCUGCCCCUUCCACCUCUGGAAAAUCUGAAAAGUGAAGGCCAGACAGACAAGGACAAGGAGCACAUUCAAUUUCUCUAUGAACGAUCCAUGGAUGCCCUAGGAAAACUUCUGAAGACCAUGAUGUGGGAUAAUGUGAAUGCAGAGGACUGUCAAGAAAUGUUUAAUCUUCUCCGAAUGUGGCUUGUUUCACAAAAAGAGUGGGAAAGAGAAAGAGCCUUCCAGAUCACCGCGAAAGUGCUGACAAAUGAUAUUGAGGCACCAGAGAACUUCAAAAUCGGUUCACUGCUUGGACUCCUGGCUCCUCACUCCUGUGAUACCCUGCCUACCAUCCGUCAGGCGGCUGCUAGCUCAACUAUUGGUCUGUUCUAUAUAAAAGGCAUUCACUUGGAAGUGGAAAGACUGCAGGGUUUGCAGGAAGGGCUGGAAAGUGAUGACGUGCAGGUUCAGAUCAAGAUUUCUUCUAAAAUAGCUAAGAUUGUCAGUAAAUUCAUCCCAAAUGAAGAAAUUCUGAUGUUCCUAGAGGAAAUGCUGGAUGGUCUGGAGAGCCUCAACCCCACUUGCACAAAGGCCUGUGGCAUAUGGAUGAUCACUGUCCUGAAGGAGCAGGGAGCUGCUCUGGAAGAUCAGCUAUUGGAGAUCUUAGGCACAAUUUACCAUCACAUGCCAGUCCUCAGACAAAAAGAAGAAAGUUUUCAGUUCAUGCUAGAAGCCAUCUCCCAGAUAGCCAGCUUUCACAUGGAUAUAGUUGUUGUCAACCUUUUACAGAAGCCUCUGCCCUUCGACAGGGACACAAAGACAUUGUGGAAGGCGCUGGCUGAAAAGCCAGCCUCCAGUGGAAAACUCUUGCAAGCCUUAAUAGACAAACUGGAGACUGAGUUAGAAGAUGACAUCGCCAGGGUUGAGGCCAUUUCAGUGGCCUGUGCUAUGUAUGAAGUGAUCUCAAUGGGCACCUCUGUCACCGGCUUGUAUCCAGAGCUGUUCACUCUCCUCCUGAAGCUGGUUAGCUGCACACUGGGCCAGAAGAUGCCCACUUCUCCCUGGAGCCGUAGGCGGCAUGUGAUGCAGCAGGGAGAACAGCAACAGAUCCCAGACCCCUGCAGGCUUUCAACUGCUACUUUAAAAUGUUUGCAAGCCCAAGCCAUGAGAGAAGGCCUUGCAAAGGAAUCUGAUGAGGGGGACAACUUAUGGACUCUACUCAGCAGUCCUAGUACCCAUCACAUAGGCGUAUGUUCACUGGCCAGGAGCGUGGCAGUGUGGCAACACGGAGUCAUAUUGGACAUCAUGGAACAGCUGCUCUCAUCUCUCACCUCCUCCUCGGAGAACUACCGGAUAACCGGCACAGCUUUCUUCUCUGAGCUCAUGAAGGAGCCAAUCCUUUGGAAGCAUGGGAAUCUGCGAGAUGUGCUGAUCUUGAUGGAUCAAAGUGCCUGGGACUCCAACGCCACUCUGAGGCAGAUGGCCAUCCGAGGGCUUGGCAACACAGCAUCUGGGGCUCCUCACAAGGUGAAGAAACAUAAGCAGUUAAUGCUAGAAUCUAUCAUCAAAGGCCUGUAUCACCUGGCUCGCACUGAAGUCGUCUGUGAAAGCUUGAAGGCUCUAAAAAAAAUCCUGGAGCUGCUGACAGACCGAGAUGUGAGCUUCUACUUCAAGGAAAUAGUGCUGCAAACAAGGACCUUCUUUGAAGAUGAGCAGGAUGAUGUGAGAUUGACUGCCAUCUUCUUAUUUGAGGACCUGGCAUCCCUAACAGGAAGAAGGUGGAAGAUUUUUUUUGCUGAAGAAGUAAAAAAGAGCCUGAUUUCAUUCCUUCUGCACCUUUGGGAUCCCAACCCCAAGAUUGGAGUUGCUUGCCGUGAUGUCUUGAUGGUCUGCAUUCCCUUUUUGGGCCUCCAGGAACUCUACGGGGUAUUAGACCAUCUCCUUGAUCAGGAUCUACCAAGGGCCAGGGAUUUCUAUAGGCAAUUCUGUGUGAAACUGGCCAAGAAAAACCAGGAAAUUCUGUGGAUCCUCCACACACACUCCUUCACCUUCUUCACCAGCAGCUGGGAGGUGAUCAGGAGUGCAGCUGUCAAACUCACAGAUGCCGUUGUUCUCAAUUUGACCAGCCAAUAUGUGGAGUUAUUAGACAGAGAACAACUGACCACACGGCUGCAAGCACUUCGUCAAGAUCCGUGUGUUAGUGUCCAGAGAGCAGCUGAGGCUGCUUUGCAGACCCUCCUGAGAAGGUGUAAAGAGACAAGCAUUCCUCUGUAAGCCAUCAAGAAAUAAACUGCUGGCUUUUCCUA
rnacentral:sRNA from 1 species